rnacentral:rRNA from 1 species
GACGACGCUGGCGGCGUGCCUAAUACAUGCCGUCGAGCGGACAGAAGGGAGCUUGCUCCCGGAUGUUAGCGGCGGACGGGUGAGUAACACGUGGGUAACCUGCCUGUAAGACUGGGAUAACUCCGGGAAACCGGAGCUAAUACCGGAUAGUUCCUUGAACCGCAUGGUUCAAGGAUGAAAGACGGUUUCGGCUGUCACUUACAGAUGGACCCGCGGCGCAUUACUAGUUGGUGAGGUAACGGCUCACCAAGGCGACGAUGCGUACCGACCUGAAGGGUGAUCGGCCACCUGGGACUGAACACGGCCAACUCCUAGGGGAGGCACAUAGGAAUCUUCCGCAUGGAAAAGCUGACGGAAACGCCGCGGAGGAGAGGUUUCGAUUUAACCUCUGUGUUA